rnacentral:ncRNA from 2 species
GAGAGCCGGAUGCGUAACGAAAGGCGCACGUCCGGUUCGGCGAGAGGCGAUGAGAGACCACCCGCUGCGAGGCGGCUAGGCGCUCAUCGCCUACUCUAC